rnacentral:lncRNA from 1 species
CCGUUCUUUUUGUUUCUGUAUAUUUUAUUACUAUUAUUGUUUGUCUUUUCGACUCUUGUCGGUUUGGUUAUUGUGUUGUCUGUAUUCAUCAGUCUUAUGAUUUUUACUAUGUCCCCUUGCGGUCUUCCUUUUUACAAUGAACAGGAUUUAGUUUUCUUACUAUCUGACUAUUUCGUUAUCAUUUUAAAAGGGAUAUCGUUUAAGCUCAAACGUUAACUAUGAUGGUUGUAUGUGUAUUCAAAGUUUUUUUUUAUUUUAGUUUUGUUGCAAUUAAUUAGAGUGCUUCAAAUAUAUAAUUUAUAAGAAACAAAUAAUUACAAGAUGAAAUCGAAGCAAGCAUAGUACACAAUUAUGAGUCUCUUAUCAAUAGUUCUAUUAUGGUUCCGUAGUACUCUGAGG